AGUUACCAGACAGCGAUUUAAGAAGACAAAACAGGAAAAUGAAAAAUAAUUGAAUUGUAUGGCAGGAGAGGAGAACGAGAGGAGAGGGAGAGAAAGAACCGCCACCGCAGACAUUUGCAAUUGGCAAUAAAUAAAAGAAGUGCAAGAAGAAGAAGCAGCAGAUUGUUUGCAGCUGGAGUGGUAAGCAGAAGAAGAAAAGCGAGCAUAAUUUGCGAUGCAAAUAAAAGCCCAAAAAAUCAUGGUGCAGAAAGGC
ensembl:ncRNA lncRNA:CR45906 long non-coding RNA:CR45906